ACACUUAGCUGGCAAGGGAGAUACUGUGAUCACGAAGGUGGUUUUCCCAGGACCAGGCUUAUCCAUUGCACUCUGGAUGUGCUGACCCCUUCGAUUUCCCCAAAUUUGUGGUAGCAGGGGACUGUGUUUUCUCUCUCCCCUG
ensembl:snRNA U1 U1 spliceosomal RNA